rnacentral:lncRNA from 1 species
GAUGAUGUAUAUGCAGUUGGGAGCUGGUUGUUGCAGUGUCAAUGGAAUUAGGAAAGACCCAAUAGGAGAUUACUGGAGAUCUGUGAUGAAAGAUGAGCCUAUGCCUAAAGCAAUCCAAUCCCUACUACUUCCUGCUGCAAAUUCUGAUCAUCAACACCCUGCUGUCCAUUAUGAUACUGAUCACAACUUCAAAAACCCUGAUCAGUCACAACCUGAUGAACACAUCUUCGAGUACUAUAGCAAAGAUGAUGCCCUGCCAUCCAACAAAUUCGCAAAGGGGAUUGGAUCGCGACCUGAUGAAGCCCUCUUGUUCUAUAGCAAAGAUGAUGCCCUGCCAUCCAACAAAUUCGCAAAGGGGAUUGGAUCGCGACCUGAUGAAGCCCUCUUGUUCUAUAGCAAAGAUGAUGCCCUGCCAUCCAACAAAUUCGCAAAGGGGAUUGGAUCGCGACCUGAUGAAGCCCUCUUGUUCUAUAGCAAAGAUGAUGCCCUGCCAUCCAACAAAUUCGCAAAGGGGAUUGGAUCGCGACCUGAUGAAGCCCUCUUGUUCUAUAGCAAAGAUGAUGCCCCGCCAUCCAACAAAUUCGCAAAGGGGAUUGGAUCGCGACCUGAUGAAGCCCUCUUGUUCUAUAGCAAAUGAACCACGCUAGUUAUGAUAAUUGUACCUUCGAUCAUCUUUAAUAAUCUGUUAAGUAUUUGAAUAAAGGAAACCGUUGAUCGAUUACUAUAGUAUUUUCAUGAGUUUCUAUAAAAUAUGGUCUUUUUUAGCGACCGAACAUGCUCGUACAAUAACU